AUUGAACGCUGGCGGCAGGCCUAACACAUGCAAGUCGAACGAGUGGCGGACGGGUGAGUAAUGUCUGGGAAACUGCCUGAUGGAGGGGGAUAACUACUGGAAACGGUAGCUAAUACCGCAUACCCUCGGAUGUGCCCAGAGGGGCUUAGCUAGUAGGGGGGGUAACGGCUCACCUGGGCGACGAUCCCUAGCUGGUCUGAGAGGAUGACCAGCCACACUGGAACUGAGACACGGUCCAGACUCCUACGGGAGGCAGCAGUGGGGAAUAUUGCACAAUGGGCGAAAGCCUGAUGCAGCCAUGCCGCGGAUAGGAAGAAGGCCUUCGGGUUGUAAAGUACUUUAAGCGGGGAGGCGUUACCCGAAGAAGAAGCACCGGCUAACUCCGUGCCAGCAGCCGCGGUAAUAC
rnacentral:rRNA from 1 species